CCCUUAGAUGUCCUGGGCCGCACGCGCGUUACACUGAUGCAUUCAACGAGCUUAUAACCUUGGCCGAGAGGCCUGGGCAAUCUUGUUAACGUGCAUCGUGAUAGGGAUAGAUUAUUGAAAUUAUUAAUCUUGAACGAGGAAUUCCUAGUAAACGCAGAUCAUCAAUCUGCAUUGAUUACGUCCCUGCCCUUUGUACACACCGCCCGUCGCACCUACCGAUUGGAUGGUCCGGUGAAUUAUUUGGAGUAGCUCUGGAAGUUGCAGAACUUCCUAUGUCACGAAAUUUUGUAAACCUUAUCGUUUAGAGGAAGGAAAAGUCGUAACA
rnacentral:rRNA from 1 species